AAGUCGUAACAAGGUUUCCGUAGGUGAACCUGCGGAAGGAUCAUUACAAAUCCAACGUCUCCAUCUCGAGACACUGUUGAAACAACAACGUGACGUGACGGGGAGGGUGAGGCUUGCUUGUCUCACGACGAACCUGCCGCCCCACCUCUGAUCGUUUACAACCCAGAAAUCGUUGAUCAUUUGUAUGCUUCUUAACAAAGAAACAACUUAUACCAAUGGAUCUCUAGGCUCUU
rnacentral:misc_RNA from 1 species